AGCGCCAGCAAACCUAGUUUACGGACCGGACCCCUUUCCCCUGGCCAUUGCUUAAUUAGCUGCCUUAGCGCCUCUCACUCCCACCUGCCGCAAUAUCUCAAAUCUCUGGUUUUUUUCCAGCCCCGGAGUUUAUUUCCUUCCCUCCCCCACUCCAGAUCUUGUCCUUUUCAUGCCUACUCGGCUGCAGUCUUCAUCCAUCUCCCUUUUAGCAUUUCUUGGGGUGGAAAAUGCUGGAGAAAUAGCCUUGAAGUAUUAGAGAUAAAAAGUACACCGGAAGAAAUAGAAAGAUUGACAGUCGAUGAAGACCUCAGUGAUAUUGAAAGGGCUGUUUAUCUGCUCAGUGCUGGUCAAGAUGUCCAAGGAACAAGUGUGAUUGCAAAUCUCCCAUUUUUGAUGCGACAGAAUCCCACUGAGACGCUUCGGAGAGUGUUGCCAAAAGUCAGAGAAGCCCUGCAUGUUGCAGGAGUGGAAAUGCAGUUAACGGCUGCGAUGUCAUUUCUGACCAUUCUGCAGGACGAAUCAGUGUCAAUUCAUGCAUAUACCCACUCAUUCCUCCAAGUCAUU
rnacentral:lncRNA from 1 species